UAAAAUACUAGGAUAAGAUGAGUAGCAAAAAAUAGUUUUUACAGAGAAGACCGGUAGGUGAGAGGGUCAAGGCGAUGUUUUUGUGAAUAUGGUCUUUGAGUUUAUAGGAGUGAGCAUAGGUUUGUUAGCUCCUAUCGGGAGUCUUUCCGUUAUCAAGAGAGGACUGUGAUGGCAGUUACAAUGAGGGGAUAUUUGCACCAUAAUAUCCUAAACUAAGGUGGUACCACGUAUGAUAAUACGUCCUUAUG
rnacentral:ncRNA from 1 species